GCCCCCCCCUACGUGUGUAUGUCCUGUUCAGCCUGUUCUCUCCUGGACACGCCUGAACUACCCACCCUCUCUCUCCAGCCCGGGUGUCCCAGGCGACUGCUGCAGUGGUCUUUCCUCCAUUCCUAAACGCAGUCUCAGAAUCUUCUGGAAGAGUCCAUGAACACAGUUGUUGGGAGCUGGCACCAGAGAGAAAAUCUGUUUGCUGUUCUAAUUUUAGGGGAUACUCUUUGUGGCUGUUGGCUGAUAAAACCAUUGAUUGUUCUCAUAUUAAGUACCAUCUAAUUAAUUUUUCAGCUAACAUUUGUGGGUCUCUGAUGCCAAAGUACCAAGCAUUUCUUGGCACACGUCUGGCCGGGAGCUCACUGCCGGCAGAGCCGAGGAAGGGGCCGAGGAGGGGAUGGCUUCACUGGUGCCCGUGGCCUCCACCACUCCCUGCAUUUGCUGCCGGCCUGAGUACUUUGUCGACAGACCCAGCAAACUAGUACAGUGUUCGUGUUUGAAGUCCUCGGAAGGGCCAGCGCCCGCCAAACCACAUCUCUGUCACAGCGGCCCGUGACGCGCAUCGGCCGUGACCUUUCUCCCUGAAUUGACCUCCGCUCGGUCUUUGGCCAGCCAGCUUGGAAGAGAGGGGCCUUCGAGCAAGCAUCUUCCCCGGGGUGUCCUCCAGCACAUGUGACAUGACGAUAAUGACGCUGGCUGGCUGAAGUGCAAACAAGGCCAGGCCAGGUUCUAAUGCUUCCCGUGAAUCAGUGCCUCCGAUUCCCCCAAACUCCAUCGAUCGCUAUCGCCCUGCCCUGCUCUCGACUUGGAAACGGAGGCGCGGAAUGGUACUUGCUGACCGGCGGAUACUUCAUCAACAGUGUCGGUUUUAUUUUCCCCCAAAGCCCUGAGGAUUAGCAUUUUGUUUGUUUUUGUUGGUCCCCCCCCCCACCCACUAUUCAAAUAAAAGAAUUCCAGCCCUCCUCUCCAAUAUUGGUGGGGGGCCUGGCAUCUCGUUGA